rnacentral:misc_RNA from 1 species
UCCCCCUCCCAUUUUUUCCCCUCCUCGCUUUUCGCCUUCUAAUUUUGCUUCCAAACACGGUAUAAUAGAAGAAAAUAUUUUCGAGGCUUAACGCGUUUCCCCUCGCUCACGCUCAAAGCUUGAUGGCGUCGGAAUCAGAACCAAACCCACUAGAAGAAGAAGAACAACAACGAUACCAGCAAGACCAAGAAGCAGCCCUUGAGGCGCCUGCACAUCACCCUUCUGCCCCUCCCGAUGAGCUAUUUGACAUUUCAACUACAGUUGAUCCUAGUUAUAUUAUAUCUUUGAUACGAAAACUUAUUCCAACUGGUUUGGUGAAUGAUCACAACACUCAUGGAGUUGAUGCAAGCGAUGCCACUGGUGAUGGGUUGAGUGCUGAUUGCAUGGAAGAUUGUGGAGCCUUUCCAUCUAGAGAUCAAGUUCAAGACUCAUUCAACGAGUCUGAGAGUAUGAGCACAGUUGAUAGUUUGGAUAAAUCUGCUUGUCAAGAUGGAGACAAAAAGGAUUCAUCUUUUAGAUGUGAACAGCCUUGUGUGCCAACAGGAGAAGAGGCUUGGGAAGAGUAUGGAUGUGUUUUGUGGGAUCUUGCUGCGAGUAAAACUCAUGCAGAACUUAUGGUACUCGAGUUUGUUCGUUUCUGAUUAAUCUCUCUUGAUGUUUGUUUUCUUUUUUGGUCUCUUUUGCAUUCUAAUUUGCACUUAAUUUGUUUGGAUUAUGGAAAAAAUACAAGAGAAAGUACCAUUUUGAAAUCUUAAGCUUUCUUGAUCAUAUUUGUAAUGAUUAGAAGAUUUUUCUGGCUUUUUCUAGAUUAAUGUUCAUUGCCUCAAUGUUUAAGAUCUCCAAGCACACAUUCCACCUUACCCUUGUACAAGCACCACCAAAUUAUUAACUCAUCAUGUGCAAACACUCAGAGCGUGGUAUUCAUUAUAUGUACGAUGGGAACCGAAAUGGGGUUUGGAUGAAACUGGCCCUUCUAGUUUUUAGUUUGUUCCAAAUAUAAAAUAAUUGUGUAUCUGCUUCUAGGAAAGAUUAAAUUUCCCUCUUUUCUUUUUAUUUACUGGAACGGUAUCCUUAAAUGUUUUUUUAUAGGUGGAAAACCUUAUACUUGAAGUGCUUUUGGCUCACCUUAUGUUUUCACAGUCAGUAAGAAUCACGGAGAUCUGCCUGGGCAUCAUUGGAAACCUUGCCUGUCAUGAAGUUCCAAUGAAGCAUAUAAUCUCUACUAAUGGACUGAUUGAGAUAAUUGUCGACCAGUUGUUUUUGGAUGACACUCAAUGCCUGUGUGAAGCUUGUCGGUAAAUACAUAUGUAUUUUUAUUUUAAUCUUUGAGGUCUUGUCUUGAGCUGAGAACUUCUCAGGUUUUCUUUUAAUCAUAGUUGGUAUUGACUUAUAUAUUGUUUUUUCUUCUUCUUCUUGUUUUUUUCUUCCUUUUCUUCAUUUAUUUUUUCUUUUUUGAAUUUUACUAUUUUCUCAGCCUUUAAUCCUUUUAUAAUUCGAAAAACUUAGCUCUUGUGGACCUGUAGAAAAAAACAUGAAAAGACAACACCAACCUGUUGGGGAUUUUGUUUUAAAAGAACUUGCAUUUUCUAUUUUCAAAUUUUCAUGGAUAUUGCAGGCAAAGAGAUGGUGGUGGUGCCCUGGGCAUGUGAUAUUUUAUUCUUGUUAUUUGCUGUAUAUCUUCUUUACAGUUGAUAUUCGGACACAGGUUGUUAACUUCUGGUCUUCAAAGUGACAAGUGCAAUACUUGGGCUGAGGCAUUACAGCCUGAACAUAUUCUGGGGCGCAUUGUGUGGGUUGCAGAAAAUACCUUGAAUCCACAGCUUUUAGAAAAGGUAGGAGAAUUGCUAUGAAGAUUUUUAAUACAUGAUUCUGGCAAAUUGUGCAUGAAUACAAGCUGUGGCAACAAUAUGUCGACAGUGAAGAUUUGGAUAUAAUAAUUUAUCUCCAAAGUGCUUACAAAGAAAGCAUUUCUGCAAAAAUUUUGCUUAGCUAUGUAAUAUCUAAGGGUUACCCUUUCAUAUAGACAUCAAUAGGACCCUUGCAAUUCCUUGUUAUGCUAACAUGUUACUAAUCCAAAAGUUGCAGAAACAUACUAUAACUAAAUGGUUUUAAAUUUGUCACAUACUAUACUCUCACAAAUCAAUUCUUUAUUUGAUUAACUUGUUUUUUAUCCAUUGGCUAAAGAAUAUUCCUUUUUGAACAGAGUGUGGGAUUAUUAUUAGCUAUCCUUGAAAGUCAGCAGGAUGUUUCAUCUGUUCAUCUUCUGUCUCUGAUGAAACUGGGUUUGACAGGUCUAUUGAUAAAUCUAUUUGCUUCUGAAAUGAGCAUGUUAAAAGGGGAAAGAGUACCUGAAAGGUAUGCUGUUCUUGAUGUAAUUCUUCGUGCAAUUGAAGCUCUUUCAAAUUUAGAUGGCAAUUCCCUAGAAAUUUGUUUUAACAAGGAACUCUUUCAACUAGUUUGUGACCUGGUCAAACUCCCUGAUAAAGUAGAGAUUGCCAGCUCUUGUGCUACUGCUUCAGUUUUAAUUGCAAAUAUUCUGUCUGAUGUACCUGAUCUUGCUUUGGAGAUAUCACAUGAUUUGACUUUUUUACAGGGUUUGCUUGAUAUAUUUCCUCUUGUCUCGGAUGAUUUGGAAGCACGGAGUGCACUCUGGAGUAUUAUUGCAAGGUUACUGGUUUGUGUAAAAGAAAAUGACAUGGGCCUAUCAAAUCUGCAUCAGUAUGUGCUGGCUCUAGUAAGCAAAACUGACCUAAUUGAAGAUGAUCUUCUUGACCAGAAAUUAGAUAAUCCGAGUGAAGAAUCCAAGAGUUUGACCAGUUCCAAUAUAAAAUCAGAUACUAGAAGAACAGCUGUAUCCUCCUUUGUCUUCUUUUUGGGUGUCUGUUGAAAAUAUGCAUAAAUUUGUUUAGGAAAACACCAUGCCUAUACAUUCUUAUAGCAUAUGCCAAUAUUGCAAAUCUUUUUCCCCCCUUAACCACUGCCACAGCUUCGAAGAAUAGUCAGUAUUUUAAAUCAGUGGACAGCAUCAAAGGACUCUCGCGAAGGGGAUGAUGUGAUGGAAGAAAAUUAUGCGAUUGAUGUAAAUAUUGGUAGACUGUUGGCUUGCUGUUGUAAACAUAUAAACAAAAUAUUAUAAAAAGAACUGCCUCCUGUGGCAUGCCCGGAGAAAUGGCAAAAUUGGGUAGGUAGAAGAAUGUGUAUGCCUCUUCAAUGCCUUAAAGAGUGAUUUUAGCUGCUAUAACUGUACCUCGAGUUUCAACCUGUAUUAUGGAUGCCAGAGUUUUGAAACGCUUGGCUUAUAUUUUGGAACCCAUUUAUCCUGAUACUUGACUUCAGUUCUUUAGGAAAACUAAUGACCUAACCAUAUUAUAAGUAGUUUCCUUUCUGUCCUAAAGUAGAUUCGAGUAUAUGCCUAGGUCUUAGUUAGCAUUUGAUGUAUUGUUAAUUCUUAAUUGUAGACUUUAGUUGAAUAUAAAAGGAGGCUUUCUGGUAUUACAGAUGAAGCAUGCAGACUGACUGAUCAAUGUAUGGAUACUUUGGUAUUUGGAUGCCCAUCCUAAAUCAGAGCAUAAAGCCCCAGUACAU